rnacentral:rRNA from 1 species
AACGAACGCUGGCGGCAUGCCUAACACAUGCAAGUCGGACGCCCCGCAAGGGGAGUGGCGCACGGGUGAGUAACGCGUGGGAACCUGCCCUGAAGUGGGGGAUAACCCGGCGAAAGCCGGGCUAAUACCGCAUGCGCCCCGGAGCAAUCUGGGGGAAAGAUUUAUCGCUCUAGGAUGGGCCCGCGUCGGAUUAGCUAGUUGGUGGGGUAACGGCCCACCAAGGGGAUGAUCCGUAGCUGGUCUGAGAGGAUGAUCAGCCACACUGGGACUGGGACACGGCCCAGACUCCUACGGGAGGCAGCAGUGGGGAAUAUUGGACAAUGGGCGCAAGCCUGAUCCAGCAAUGCCGCGUGAGUGAUGAAGGCCUUAGGGUUGUAAAGCUCUUUCGGCGGGGACGAUGAUGACGGUACCCGCAGAAGAAGCCCCGGCUAACUUCGUGCCAGCAGCCGCCGUAAUAC